rnacentral:rRNA from 1 species
GACGAACGCUGGCGGCGUGCUUAACACAUGCAAGUCGAACGAAGUGGCGAACGGGUGAGUAAUACGUGGGUAACCUGCCCUCCUUUUUGGGAUAAGCCUUGGAAACGGGGUCUACUACCGACUAAAGGGGGAUGGGCUCGCGGCCUAUCAGCUUGUUGGUGGGGUGAUGGCCUACCAAGGCGGUGACGGGUAGCCGGCCUGAGAGGGUAACUGGCCACGUUGAGACGGGGAUACGGCCCAGGCGCGUACGGGGGGGGGCAGUGGGGAAUAUUGCAGAAUGGGGGAAGACCUGAUGCAGCGUGGCCGCGUGGGGGUUGAGGGUUGUCGGGUUGUAAACCUCUUGCGCAAGGGAGCGGGUAGGUGAAGAAGAAGCACCGGCUAACUACGUGCCAGCAGCCGCGGUAAUUC